rnacentral:rRNA from 1 species
GAGUUGUAAUUUGUAGAGAGUGCUUCGGGUGAGGCCCCGGUCUAAGUCCAUUGGAACAUGGUGUCAUAGAGGGUGAGAAUCCCGUAUGCGACCGUGGCUCGAGCCCAUGUGAAGCCUCUUCGACGAGUCGAGUUGUUUGGGAAUGCAGCUCAAAAUGGGUGGUAAAUUUCAUCUAAAGCUAAAUACUGGCUGGAGACCGAUAGCGCACAAGUAGAGUGAUCGAAAGAUGAAAAGCACUUUGGAAAGAGAGUCAAAAAGUACGUGAAAUUGUUGAAAGGGAAGCGCUUGCAACCAGACCUGCCCGUAGGCGAUCAACCGCUGUUCUCAGCGGUGCACUCGCUCUGCGAUCAGGCCAGCAUCGGUCUCGGCGGUCGGAUAAAGGCCUUGGGAAUGUAGCUUCCCCUCGGGGGAGUCUUAUAGCCCUCGGUGCAAUGCGGCCAGCCGGGACCGAGGACCGCGCUUCGGCUAGGAUGCUGGCGUAAUGGUUGUAAGCGACCCGUCUUGAAACACG